rnacentral:rRNA from 1 species
CCUACGGGAGGCAGCAGUAAGGAAUAUUGGACAAUGCUCGCAAGAGUGAUCCAGCCAUGCCGCGUGCAGGAAGACGGCCCUAUGGGUUGUAAACUGCUUUUGAACUAGAGAAAACCCUCCUACGUGUAGGAGGCUGAUAGUAUAGUUAGAAUAAGCAUCGGCUAACUUCGUGCCAGCAGCCGCGGUAAGACGAAGGAUGCAAGUCGUUAUCCGGAUUCAUUGGGUUUAAAGGGAGCGUAGGUGGACUGAUAAGUCAGUGGUGAAAUCUCUCGGCUUAACCGAGAAAUUGCCAUUGAUACUGUUGGUCUUGAGUACAGUUGCUGUGGGCGGAAUAUGACAUGUAGUGGUGAAAUACAUAGAGAUGUCAUAGAACACCGAUUGCGAAGGCAGCUCACAAAGCUGUAACUGACACUGAGGCUCGAAAGUGCGGGGAUCAAACAGGAUUAGAUACCCUGGUACGUCCGCACCGUAAACGAUGAUUACUCGCUGCUGGGAGGUAACUUCAGUGGCUUAGCGAAGCGAUAAGUAAUCCACCGUGGGGAGUACGCCGGCACGGUGAACGUCAAAGAGAGUUAGAGGNGNGAGAGNGACGACGACGACGACGAGGGAGGAGG